UACGUAGGGCGCUAGCGUUGUCCGGAAUUAUUGGGCGUAAAGAGCUCGUAGGCGGUUUUUCGCGUCUGCCGUGAAAGUCCGGGGCUCAACUCCGGAUCUGCGGUGGAUACGGGCAGACUAGAGUGAUGUAGGGGAGACUGGAAUUCCUGGUGUAGCGGUGAAAUGCGCAGAUAUCAGGAGGAACACCGAUGGCGAAGGCAGGUCUCUGGGCAGUAACUGACGCUGAGGAGCGAAAGCAUGGGGAGCAAACAGG
rnacentral:rRNA from 1 species